GCGCAUCGUAGUCGUGAUCAUAAAUCUCCACGUCGUCAUCGUCCUCGUCGCUGCUGUAAACACUGCAGGGAAAGAGAAAGCGGGGAAGAGGGACGGGGCAAUCGAAGAAGAUAUAUGUACAAAACGUGGAGCGGCCCUGUUUCCCCACCACUGCAUGUUCAGACCUGCUCGGGUCCUGUCACAGCCACAUGCUCAACUAACUCACCUGGCCGGCUCUUGGCCAAUCAGAAGGAAGCACGGCAUGCGUGGAAGCCCGUGCUCACCUGGCUUUUGUGUCACACUUUAGGUGCUAUGUGUGUUUAUGUAAGCCUUGUGCUUAUCAUUACUGUUUAAUGAUUGAUAAAGGACAAGGAAGAGGUCAGGGGCGUGUCGAUCUUCACCCCAAAAAAAGAAAGAAAGAAAGAAAGAAAAGGGGAUCUUGGGG